AACGAACGCUGGCGGCAUGCCUAACACAUGCAAGUCGAACGAGACCUUCGGGUCUAGUGGCGCACGGGUGCGUAACGCGUGGGAACCUGCCCUUAGGUUCGGAAUAACUCACCGAAAGGGGUGCUAAUAUCGGAUAAUGUCUUCGGACCAAAGAUUUAUCGCCUUUGGAUGGGCCCGCGUUGGAUUAGCUAGUUGGUAGGGUAAAAGCCUACCAAGGCGACGAUCCAUAGCUGGUCUGAGAGGAUGAUCAGCCACACUGGGACUGAGACACGGCCCAGACUCCUACGGGAGGCAGCAGUGGGGAAUAUUGGACAAUGGGCGAAAGCCUGAUCCAGCAAUGCCGCGUGAGUGAUGAAGGCCUUAGGGUUGUAAAGCUCUUUUACCCGGGAUGAUAAUGACAGUACCGGGAGAAUAAGCUCCGGCUAACUCCGUG
rnacentral:rRNA from 1 species